rnacentral:rRNA from 1 species
AACGAACGCUGGCGGCAGGCUUAACACAUGCAAGUCGAGCGCCCCGCAAGGGGAGCGGCAGACGGGUGAGUAACGCGUGGGAAUCCACCCAUCUCUACGGAAUAACGCAUGGAAACGUGUGCUAAUACCGUAUACGUUCUUCGGGAGAAAGAUUUAUCGGAGAUGGAUGAGCCCGCGUUGGAUUAGCUAGUUGGUGGGGUAAAGGCAUACCAAGGCGACGAUCCAUAGCUGGUCUGAGAGGAUGAUCAGCCACACUGGGACUGAGACACGGCCCAGACUCCUACGGGAGGCAGCAGUGGGGAAUAUUGGACAAUGGGCGCAAGCCUGAUCCAGCCAUGCCGCGUGAGUGAUGAAGGCCCUAGGGUUGUAAAGCUCUUUCACCGGUGAAGAUAAUGACGGUAACCGGAGAAGAAGCCCCGGCUAACUUCGUGCCAGCCGCCGCAGUAAUAC